UCCUGUUUUGGAAAUGUCCAAGUUCAGACUAAGGUAGGGAUAGAAUACAUAGCCCAUGGUAGUGAAGGAACCAAUGUUGCUUCUUCCCACCCACAUCGCCUGUUGACAAGCAAGUCAUUUGGCUUAAGAUAGACAAGUAGAGACCUCUGAAGCUUCACUCCAUCCAAGGAUCAGCAGGAGAGGGAGCCAGCAGGCCAAAAAUGCUUCUCACUUGGUACAACUUCUGCUGUUCCUCCCCCUGCCCCGAAGCAGAUGCUCCAAGAACUCUCUUUUCUAAAUUUCUUGCAGGCUACUGAAGGCAUGUGAGCCAGCCGUCAAUUCAGUGAAUUUCCUAUCGAGGUUAAAUUAAAUGGAGUGAUUUUAUUUCUUGUAAACAGAAACCCAGAAAGAACUGUAGUUUUGUCUCUCACAUCUGAGCUGACUUUGGCUACUGUAAACAGGAACCCAGAAAGAACUCCUGUAGUUUUGUCUCUCACGUCUGAGCUGACUUCGGCUAUUCUUAACCCAAUCUGCUGAGCUCAGUGUAGCAAGGCCAUGGGAUCUAACUCACAGAAACUACUGUCUACAGACCCGUUUGUGGCCUCUGUGUUCAGGAGGGGGCUGGAGGCUGUUUCUUUGCCUCCACAAUCUAAACAGAAGAGCUGAUGUCAUGCUUAUAUCCUGACAUUAACCAGUGAAAAUCUGAAGAUACUUGAGAAAGAGACAAGGAUGGAGACAAGGAUUGAGAAAUGAAUGCACCUAACCCAUGUCACCCCCAAAAGAGAAAUUACUCCCAACUAGUUUUGACCUCUACCUAUCUGAGGAAACAGCAUUAUUCUAAAGAUCUUCAUGGAUGCCGGGGAGUCAAGGUCCCCGGAAGUGUGGAUGUGGCUAUCCGCCCACCUCUCCCUACCAUUAAUCCAGGAAGCAUCAACUGCCAAAGGCACCUGGAAUAGACAAAUAAAAAAAAUCAGUGAAUACAAGCUAUAGUCAGGAAACCAAUGGGGAGGAAACCAACAAGGGGGGCCUUCCUCUGGGACAUGAGUAGAUGGGGGUGGGUAGAGACCCACAAAGCAACAAUGUUUGGUAUGGAGAUUACCUGAAGGACUGGACAGGGAAAAGCUAUGAAGAAAUGGAGAAAGAACAUGAGGAAGUGAGCGGCAGAGAUUGGAGAAGACUCCCCUCCACGGUCUCCAAAGAACCCUACAAUUCGGAUCAGGAAUGGAGAGGAAGUAGUAACCGCCAUCUUGGAUCCAUCCUUCCUGGCCUCCUCAGUAUCUUCCCCGUUCUCUUUUCUAUUCCAUACCCAACCUACUUUCUAGCUGUGCUGUUACCGUGUCACCUCUGUGUCCCCCAGCCUUCUUUUGAGACAGCUACAUGAUUUCCUGAGUGUUUGCAUGGGAAGUUUGAAGUACAGCUAACUAAAGUAAAUACAAAAGACAGACGGACCAACUGAGAAAGAACCUUCUCAUUCUUGUCCUGGCCAUGCUCCACGAUCAGGCUUAAAGGUAUACCCCAGACCUGAGCCCACAGUCACAGCAAUUCUUACCUGCCAGCAGUGCUUUUGUCCCGAUAUGAAAGUAAAUAAAUCUUGCCCUCAUUUUUUUUCCUCCC
rnacentral:sRNA from 1 species